AGGCAACCCGCGGGCCGAGACGGGGUAGUGAGGGCCGGAAGCCCGGCUCCCGACUCCGCUUCGCCCCCACAACCUCCGGCCGCCUGAAGUCCUGAGGGGCCGUGGCCCUGCGUCGUCUCCCCUGUUCCCAGCCUCCAGUCGCAGCUGGCGGAGAGAAGUUCCCGAGGCACCCCCCCCCCCCCCCCCACUUGCAGGGUCCCUUGCCCCGCCCAGAGCUGAGCCUUCCGAGGAUCUGAGGACCGAGUCCAGCCCAGCUCCCAGGAGGGGCCGGGAUCCUGGGGCAGGGAAUGAGGGGCAGGGGCUGGCUCUAAAGUCGGGCAGGAGAGGGGCACUAACCGAGAUGGGGGCUGAGCCUCCGAUCUGGGAGCUUAGGGAGGCGCGUGGCGGGAUGCAAAACAUUCCUGAGACCGUUGGAUUGGAUUUCCGAAUUUGGGAGGCUAGGACUCCGGCUACGGUGGCUCUGCUCUUGGGAUGAGAGGACUGGGCCCAGCUUGCGAGGAAUCAUGAAGUGGACACAGGGUGGGAACGUGAAUUUUAAUGAGGGGGCAGACCGAGGAGGUGGUGGCUGCCCGGAGAUCAGGGCCAGGCUCUGCUAGAUGGCGCCUGGAAGGGGGGUCACCCAAGUCUCCCUGCUGUCAUUUCAGGAGGCCGACCCAAGUCUCCCUGCUGUCAUUUCAGGAGGCCGAAUUUUUUCCCGAUCCCAGAGAAGGUGUCAGAGGCCUGGUUAGCAGUCUUGUCGAUGGUUUCCUGGGUGGUCUUGGCCAGCUGGUCCAUGGCUGGGGAAGGGCGGGAGAGAGGGCAGGUCAGGCAGGGCCCCGGGAACCACAGUGCACGUAGGCUUAGCCUGGCCUGGGUCUCCCGGGGGACCUGCUUGGGGCAUUGUGGACACAGGGCUCUGCAGAGGAGAGGAUGUGCCUGGGCCCCAGCCGGGAUGGGGCGGGGGAGUGGGAGGUGUGCUGGGGUUGCCCGCCUCCCUCCAGCCUCACCAGACCUUUCUGCCCCGCCUCUGUGGCCUGGUCCACCACUUGCUGAGCUGCCGCUCCGGCCGCUGACACUGGAACAGAGAGAUGUGGCUUUUAGCCCCUGUUGAGGCACCACCGACUGCAGGUGCCCCACCAUUUCCAUGCCUCUGUGUCCUCCAGAGUAUUCGGUGGUACAGGUCCAAGGGAUGGAUGCCAUGGAGAUAAAGUCCCUGGCCCAGGGCCCCCCAGCCCGAGGGGCAGGAGACCUUUCCAUGCCUCUGGGAUGUUUUUGUUUAUUUCUAACUCUGAGCUCCUCCUCUGUGGGGGAGGAGCUUCCCUUUCCAUCUCCAGGGCUGCUGAGAAAAUGUUGGACAGAGGAAGAAAGGCAGGGCAGGGGCCAGGCUGCAGCUAGCAUCUGGACUGUUGGCUAAUGCUGGUGAUGGCGCAGAAGACCCUUGCCCCCUUUUACAGCUUCUCCCCUAGAAGCCUGGCCCAGAUGCCUGAAUUCCCACCUUUCAUGCACUUAGCCCUGGGGCUUGCAGUUUUGCCAGGUCCUUACUGCCUUCUCCCUCCUGUGGCCUGCCCCAGAGGGCACACAAGCAAAGCCAGUGCCUCUGUGGACAGGCAGCUUAAGACAUUAGGAGACAAAUGAAGGAAGGAGGCAAAACUUCCAAGGCCGGACUAUCUCCUCUGGACCAGAGUUUCAGCCUGCUGGGAAUGGAGUCACCAGCCCCGGGGGGGCUGACAGGUGGCUCCCGCCUGCAGAGCUGUAACUCAUCCCUGCUGCUGAACAGGAAAGGGCCUGCCUUACCCAGACGCCAUCCUCCGGAAAGCGUUAGUCAGGCAAGUGUGCUGAGAGGCCCCUGGGAACCUCGUCUCGAUUAACCCAUCAGAAAGCAGCCCAUCCUUUGCACCCAGCUCUCAGAUGGAAAAGUGAAGCCCAGAAGGAAGGGACCUGACACGGAGGCUUCCUUGGUAGCAUUUCAGUCUCAAGGGAAGAACUGUGGGCCUCCCCUGGAGCACUGGUGAAGGAAGGGGUUGGUUUGGAUAUUGUCUCCUGACUGGGAUAUGGGCAGGACUGACAGGGAGCUGGAGUCCUAACGAAGCCUGGGCUAGGUGCAGGAAGAACCAACCCAGUGGUCUCCUGAUAUCUCCCAUGCCCCCACCGCAGCUGGGUCACCUCCAGAAUAAGGAGGAGAGAGCUGGAGGUGGAGGAACUAAGGACCUUCUUUGCCAGGUGGGGACUUAAAGGUUCAAGCAGUUCUGCCUCAGCCUCCUGAGUAGCUGAGAUUACAGGCAUGAGCCACCACGCCCAGCUAAUUUGUGAUUUCGCUUUCUGCAGUUUCAGUUACCCAUUGUUGGGGCUCAGAAACCAAUACCCCGAAAUAUAGUGGUGUGACAUUCUGAACUGAAGAAGCCUUAAGGUCUCUCCGACCAGACUCCCACAGGCCCCCCAACCCUUUGUCUCUUCCAAAGCAUACAGUGAAGUUGUUCUCUGAAGUUCCUCAUCUGCCUUAAGUCUGGACCCACCAAAGAAGAAAACAAUGACCACUGGUCCCUUCCUGGAGUUUUCUCUGACUGAACUCCUGUCACAGGAAGAAAGACUGAAGCCUGCUCACACACCUGGACAGAUUUUGCAAACCGUUGUCUGCUCUGGGAGCCCAACAGACUUUGUCCCAGGCCACUGUAUGUUCUUCAAGCCCACUGAAUUCCCCUGAAAAUCAUUUACUAGCCCCCUGAAAUUACCCACACUUCCCCAUUGCUCAUCUGUACCCCAUUUCGUGGUGGGGCAGUCACUCUGAUUUCCCCUUGCAUGCUAAUGAAUGUGUAUUCCAUUUC